UACGGAGGGUGCGAGCGUUGUCCGGAAUCACUGGGCGUAAAGGGCGCGUAGGCGGCGCGGGGAGUCAACGGUGAAAGCUCGGCGCUCAACGCCGAGUCGGCCGUCGAUACUCCCGUGCUUGAGCACUGUAGAGGCAGGUGGAAUUCCGGGUGUAGCGGUGGAAUGCGUAGAGAUCCGGAAGAACACCGGUGGCGAAGGCGGGUCUCUGGGCCGAUACUGACACUGAGGAGCGAAAGCGUGGGGAGCGAACAGU
rnacentral:rRNA from 1 species